rnacentral:rRNA from 1 species
UAAGACGAACCGUGCGAACGUUGUUCGGAUUCACUGGGCUUAAAGGGCGCGUAGGCGGACCCAAAAGUCCGGGGUGAAAUCGUUCGGCUUAACCGGACAAUUGCCUUGGAUACUGUGGGUCUCGAGGGAGGUAGGGGCAUGCGGAACUUCCGGUGGAGCGGUGAAAUGCGUUGAUAUCGGAAGGAACUCCGGUGGCGAAAGCGGCGUGCUGGAUCUCUUCUGACGCUGAGGCGCGAAAGCCAGGGGAGCAAACGGGAUUAGAUACCCCGGUAGUCCUGGCCCUAAACGAUGGGUACUAGGUAGUGGACUUGACAUGGGUUCACUGCCGAAGCCAAAGUGGUAAGUACCCCGCCUGGGGAGUAUGGUCGCAAGGCUG